rnacentral:snoRNA from 1 species
AAACCAUGGUGCGGGCACUCUCUCUGCAAAUCCUUGAAUCUCUCCCAAACCUCGAACAAACUCUCAUCUGCCUGUUGUAAUAGAAAUUAUCUGACCCC